GGGGAUUUAGCUCAGAGGUAGAGCACUUGCCUAGCAAGCACAAGGCCCUGGGUUCGGCCCCCAGCUCCG
rnacentral:tRNA from 1 species